UCGUACAGCCGAAUUAAGGUGAAACCGCAAAAGGCUCAUUAAAUCAGUUUUGGUUCACUAGAGCGUUACUCGUUUUUUGGAUAACUGUGGUAAUUCUAGAGCUAAUACAUGCAAACAAGUCCCGACCAGUGGUUUGGAAAGGACGCUUUUAUUAGAUCAAAAUCAAUCGGUGCGGCUAGACCAAACCGUUUUUUUUGGUGACUCUGAAUAACUCCACAGAUCGCACGGUCUCCGUACCGGCGACUUAUCUUUCAAAUGCCUGACUUAUCAACUGUCGAUGGUAGACUCUACGUCUACCAUGGUUGUAACGGGUAACGGGGAAUCAGGGUUCGAUUCCGGAGAGGGAGCCUGAGAAACGGCUACUACAUCCAAGGAAGGCAGCAGGCACGCAAAUUACCCACUCCCGGCACGGGGAGGUAGUGACAAAAAAUAACGAUACGGGACUCAUCCGAGGCCCCGUAAUCGGAAUGAGUACACUUUAAAUUCUUUAACAAGAACCCAAUGGAGGGCAAGUCUGGUGCCAGCAGCCGCGGUAAUUCCAGCUCCAUUAGCGUAUAUUAAAGUUGUUGCGGUUAAAAAGCUCGUAGUUGGUUCUGUGUCCCACGCUGUCGGUUCACCGCCUGCCGGUGCAACUGGCAUGCCGUGGGAUGUCCUGUCGGUGGCGGUUGUGACCCUCGGCGGGCGUAGGUUGACCGAAACCCGCCGCUGUGAGUCGCCUGCCGAUUCAAUCCUGCCGCGGUGCUCUUCACUGAGUGUCGAGGUAGGCCGACACGUUUACUUUGAACAAAUUAGAGUGCUUAAAGCAGGCUGAAUUCUGCCUGUAUAGUGGUGCAUGGAAUAAUGGAAUAAGACCUCGUUUCUAUUUUAUUGGUUUUCGGAAUACGAGGUAAUGAUCAAUAUGGACAGGCGGGGGCAUUCGUAUUGCGACGUUAGAGGUGAAAUUCUUGGAUCGUCGCAAGACGGACUAGAGCGAAAGCAUUUGCCAAGUAUGUCUUAGUUGAUCAAGAACGAAAGUUAGAGGUUCGAAGGCGAUCAGAUACCGCCCUAGUUCUAACCAUAAACGAUGCCAGCCAGCGAUCCGCCGAUGUUCCUCCGAUGACUCGGCGGGCAGCCCCCGGGAAACCAAAGCUUUUGGGUUCCGGGGGAAGUAUGGUUGCAAAGCUGAAACUUAAAGGAAUUGACGGAAGGGCACCACCAGGAGUGGAGCCUGCGGCUUAAUUUGACUCAACACGGGAAACCUCACCAGGCCCAGACAUUGGAAGGAUUGACAGAUUGAUAGCUCUUUCUUGAUUCAGUGGGUAGUGGUGCAUGGCCGUUCUUAGUUGGUGGAGCGAUUUGUCUGGUUAAUUCCGAUAACGAACGAGACUCUAGCCUAUUAAAUAGGCGUUCCCGGUAUCUCACCUACCGGCGAAAACAAUUCUUCUUAGAGGGACAGGCGGCUUUCAGCCGCACGAGAUUGAGCAAUAACAGGUCUGUGAUGCCCUUAGAUGUUCUGGGCCGCACGCGCGCUACACUGAAGGGAUCAGCGUGUGUCUCCUAGGCCGAAAGGUCCGGGUAACCCGCUGAACCCCCUUCGUGCUAGGAAUUGGGGCUUGCAAUUGUUCCCCAUGAACGAGGAAUUCCCAGUAAGCGUGAGUCAUAAGCUCGCGUUGAUUACGUCCCUGCCCUUUGUACACACCGCCCGUCGCUACUACCGAUUGAAUGAUUUAGUGAGGUCUUCGGACUGGUGAUGAGCGGCCACCAAGUUUCUUGGUGCCGAUGUUACCGGAAAGAUGACCAAACUUGAUCAUUUAGAGGAAGUAAAAGUCGUAACAAGGUUCCGAGGAAAACCCCGGGCGAAAAACUUUGUUACGACUUUUACUUCCUCUAAAUGGAUCAAGUUUGGGUCAUCUU
rnacentral:rRNA from 1 species